rnacentral:rRNA from 1 species
GACGAACGCUGGCGGCGUGCUUAACACAUGCAAGUCGAACGGUAAGGCCCUUCGGGGUACACGAGUGGCGAACGGGUGAGUAACACGUGGGUGAUCUGCCCUGCACUUCGGGAUAAGCCUGGGAAACUGGGUCUAAUACCGGAUAGGACCACUGCCUGCAUGGGUGGUGGGGGAAAGCUGUUGCGGUGUGGGAUGGGCCCGCGGCCUAUCAGUUUGUUGGUGGGGUGAUGGCCUACCAAGGCGACGACGGGUAGCCGGCCUGAGAGGGUGACCGGCCACACUGGGACUGAGAUACGGCCCAGACUCCUACGGGAGGCAGCAGUGGGGAAUAUUGCACAAUGGGCGCAAGCCUGAUGCAGCGACGCCGCGUGAGGGAUGACGGCCUUCGGGUUGUAAACCUCUUUCAGCACCGACGAAGCGCAAGUGACGGUAGGUGCAGAAGAAGGACCGGCCAACUACGUGCCAGCCGCCGCCGUAA